CUAUCCAUUGUUUCCUUUUUUUAAAAAGAAACUAAAUAAAUUUUGUUUCGCCAAUAUGAAAAAAAUCAUUGAUUUGUAUAAAAAUCAAUAAUUAUCAAAAAAAAUUCAAACAAGCUCACAUGAAGCUAGAAGUACAUCUACUCUCUCUCUCUCUCUCUCUCUCUCGAGCCAUACUUAUCCACCUUCACCUACGCCAUAAAGAGAGAGUAGUGACUGAUGCAAUCUUCUAUUUUGUCUAAGAGUAUAGAUAGCCCUGGCCU
rnacentral:lncRNA from 1 species